UACAAACUCAUUAAAACUUAAAUAUCGGAUAAUCUCAAACCAGGUACAGUACGGAUCCAAGAAGUUUCUUGGCAAAAGUCUGUGUGAGAACUAGAUAGGCUCUGAGGUUGCUCUGGCAAAGUGCUUUGUGCCGGUCCGGUAGAGGAACAAAUAAAUCCGGCUUGGAAGGGCACUUCAUCGAUGCCCGACUCCGACAGGCAUGCCCCAGCAGCGCUGCGGCUUAUACCCGUAUUGCUGCUUACUGCCUGCGCCUAUGCACCUCCACCAGCGUUCACCCGAGUGACUCAGGCGCCUGAAAUCGGUUUCAUGCUUCUUGAACUGGUAUGAUCGGAAAGUUAAGAAGACGGAAAAUGGAGAAGUGUACCUCCCUAGACCUGGAGGGAAAUGGAGCGGCGG